AUUGAACGCUGGCGGCAGGCCUAACACAUGCAAGUCGAACGAGUGGCGGACGGGUGAGUAAUGUCUGGGAAACUGCCCGAUGGAGGGGGAUAACUACUGGAAACGGUAGCUAAUACCGCAUACCAUCGGAUGUGCCCAGAUGGGAUUAGCUAGUAGGUGGGGUAACGGCUCACCUAGGCGACGAUCCCUAGCUGGUCUGAGAGGAUGACGAUCAACACGUGAACUAAGACACGGUCCAGACUCCUACGGGAAGCAGCAGUGGUGAAUAUUGCACAAUGGACGCAAGCCUGAUGCAGCCAUGCCGCAAGUAUGAAGAAGGCCUUCGGGUUGAAAAGUACUUUCAGCGAGGAGGCGUUACGCGCAGAAGAAGCACCGGCUAACUCCGUGCCAGCAGCCGCGGUAAUUC
rnacentral:rRNA from 1 species